rnacentral:lncRNA from 1 species
GGGGGCACUUGGGUGACUCCAUCAGUUAGGCACCCAGCUCUUGAUUUUAGCUCAGGUGAUGAUGAUCUCAGGGUUGUAAAUUGAGCCCCACCUGGGGCUCCACACUCAGCAAGGGAGUCUGCUUCUCUCUCUCUCUCUCCCCCCCUCUUCUUCUGCCCCUUCCCCACUUGCUCUCUCUCUAAAAUAAACAAACAAACAAAUAAAUAAAUAAUAAAUCUUUUUAAAAAGUGAUUUAGGUGAGGUCCAAUUUGUCAUUUUUCUUUUAUGAAUUGCACUUUUCUGGUCAAGUCUAAGAACCCUUUACUUGGCCCUAAGUCUCCAAAAUUUUCUCCUAAAAAUCUUUAUAGUUUUCUGCUCUAUAUUUAAAUCUGUGAUUGCUUUUGUGUGAAUUGUUUUACAGGGUGUGACACUUAGGUAGGGUUUAAUUUUUAUUUAUUUACUUGUUUUUUACCUGUGGAUGUCCAGUAUCCCCACCAUUUAUUUGUCUAAAAGGAUAUUCUUCCUCUAUUUAAUUUAUUUUGCACCUUUGACAAAAAUCAGUUGGGCCUGUGUGUGUCGGUUCAUUUCUAGGUUCUCUGUUUUGUUCCAUUGAUCUAUGAUUCUAUCCACUAAUAAAAAUGACUAAUUUUAAUGUAUCCAUUUCACCACAGUUUGCACUGGGUAGACCUGGAGUCUGAGACCUAGAAGAGCAGCUGGAUUUGCUGUAGUUUAAUGUUGCCCUUCACCUGGAUGUCAACACAUUCAGAGGCUCAUCCCCCAUCUCUUCUCCAUGCAGCAAAGGAGAAUUCCCAAAGGAAACUGCAGAUCCAUCCCCCUAGUUGCCCCUUUCCCAAGGACCUAUCCCUUCCUGUCCUGGGGCCCAUCUCCAACAAGGGAUGGCCUGAGGACUUCCAUCAUAGAUUUAUCUUUUUUAUUGACAUUGUUGACUCUACACAUGAUAUUUGUCAUGGAUUUGUCCAGCCUUCAAAUCACUCAUCCCUGGAACAUACCACCUUAUAUUGCUCUACAUUAUAUAACUUAGGUCUUUAAUUAAUUAAUUAAUUAAUUUUUACCUAUUUAUUUUUAAAUAUUAUAUUUAUUCAUUUGAGAGAGAGAGAGCAUGAGCAGAAGGGAGAGACAGAAGGAGAAGGAGAAGCAGACUCCCCACCGAGCAGGGAUCCCAACUCAGGGCUGGAUCCCAGGACCCACCAUCUGAGCCACUCAGGCACUCCAACUUAGGCCUUUUUUAAAAAGCUGUUUGUAACCUUCAGGGUUGUAUUCAUUACAUGGGGUGUGUUGAGAACAGAAUUAGGCCCUAUGUGUAAAAAGAGGCUGGGACACCAGUUUGCUCAUUAGCUUAUGUUUUGUUUCAUAGGAUUUUUUUACAUGGGCAAUUAUAUCAUCUGCAAACAAAGUUUUACUUCUUCCUUUUUAAUUCAGAUGCUUUUUAUUUUCCCUUCUGUAUUGCACUGCCUAGAACUCCAGAAAUGUUAAAUGAAUGUGGUAAUUGUUGACAUCCUAGUCUCGUUUCUUUUCUUUUCUUUUCUUUUUUUUUCUUUUCUUUUCUUUUUUUUUUUUUUUUUAUUUUAUUUAUUUGAGAGAGAGCACAAGGGAGGAAGGGAGGAAAGGGGCAAAGGUAAAGAGAGAAGCAGACUCCCUGAUGAGCGCAGAUCUCAAUAAGGGGCUCCAUCUCAUGAUUCAUGGGAUCAUCACCUGAGCCAAAAUCCAGUCAGAUGGUUAACUGACUGCACCACCCAGGCACUCUUCAAUUUUUCACUACUAAAUGUGAUGUUUGCCAUAGGUUUUUAAAAAUUAAUUAAUUAUCUUCAUUAUUGAUUCUGUAUCUUAUUUGUAUCCCUUCAUCCCAUUGAGAAAGUUACCUUAUAUUCUUGGUUUGUUGGCAUUUGAAAUAAGGACUUGAUAUUUCAUGUUUCCAAAUAUUGUGCUUCAGCAGAUAUUGGCAUAAUCCACAGUACAUCUCUUUUUUUUUCCACAGUACAUCUCUUAUCAAGAUUCAAAUAGGUACCUCAAAACAUCUCCCCAGAAUUAAUCAAUAUCCUAUAAAGCCUUUAGGGCAUGAAGCCCAUAAUAGAAGCUUAUAAGUCUCAGGGCCUCAUUUUUCCCUGCACUAAUUCCUGAAAUACCCCUAUUUUACCUGUGAGAAAACCCAAUGGCCAAGCAUGGAGGUUUGUCCAGGACCUCUGAGCAAUAAAUAACACUGUUAUCCCUCAGCACUUGUUGUUCCCAACCCUCAUACACUACUGACAUUCAUUUCCACUGAAAGGAAAAUUUUCACUGCAAUCUGUGCAGUGCAUUUUUACUAUUCCAGUUGUUAUGGAGAGCCGUCAUCUUUUUGCUUUCACUUGGGAAGAAUGGCAAUGCACUUGGACAAUAAGUAAUGCCUCAGGGUUUCACAGAGUCCUUAUUUUUCACAAACCUUAAAACUGAUUUGGAUGAUGGAAAGUUUUCUACAGGCUCUACUUUGUUACAGUACAUAGAUGAUUUGUUUCUCUGCUCCCCUUCUUAAGCCUCUUCACACUGAAGACAGCAUCCAACUGUUAAAACUUUUGGCCUUGGGAUCCCUGGGUGGCGCAGCGGUUUGGCGCCUGCCUUUGGCCCAGGGCGCGAUCCUGGAGACCCAGGAUCGAAUCCCACAUGGGGCUCCCGGUGCAUGGAGCCUGCUUCUCCCUCUGCCUGUGUCUCUGCCUCUCUCUCUCUCUCUCUCUCUCUCUCUCUCUGUGACUAUCAUAAAUAAAUAAAAGUUAAAAAAAUUUAAAAAAAAAAAGCUUUUGGCCUUAAAGGGACAUAAAGUCUCCCAAGAAAAAUUGCAGUUUGCUAUAAUUCAUGUUCCAUACUUAGGGCAUCUGAUCUAGGAACGAGAACUACAUUGGGAUCUAGAGGAAACACCUCAUGACUGCUUAACACUGACAGAUCAUCUUUUUACUCACUGUGACAAUUUAGAGGAAACUCCUCCAACAACAGAUUUUUCAUGGUUUACUGGUGGUUCUUAUUUAAAGGAUGAACAUGGUAAAUAUCAUGCUGGGUAUGCUACUACAACUCUCUUUGAAGUCACUGAGGCAGAAACUUUACCUUGGCUGCUUCAGCCCAAAAGGCUGAGUUCUCAGCACCCUGAGAUCAAGACCUGAGCUCAAGAGUUAGAUGUUUAGCUGAUUGAGCCACCCAGGUGCCCCUAAAAGGCUGAGUUCAAUGCCGUUACUCGAGCUUGUACCUGAGCCGAGGGUAAAACCGCGAAUAUCUAUACCAAUAGCCGAUAUGCCUUUUGGGUAGCUGACUUUGGAAUAUUAUGAAAACAAUGAUGUGUUCUUACCUCCAAAGAGAAUAAAAUUAAAAAUGGCACCUAUGGCUAAAAUUUAUUAGAUGCCAUACCUGUGCCAGCUGCUCUGGAUAUUAUGGAGCUUCUUAGGUAUUCCAGAUUCAACUCCCUGGAGGCCAAAGAAACCACUUCACUGAUAUUUCCACCAAAAAUCCUCUCUGAAGGAGACCAAUAGCCAAACUUCCGUCUUGGUCCAAAGAGAUGUUAUCCCAAUUGAUAAUUUGAGGGAAAGAAUGACAAGACACACCCAACAAUUGGUCCCAGAAAAGGAAAAACAAUAUUCAAAGUCUAAUAAUGUUGGUUCAAUAAAAAUAGAGACCUCUGGUUUGGACCAAGUAACAAUCCAGUUCUAUCACUGGUUUACUGAGAAAAUGACAGUGUUCAUGAACCAAUUUUGGUUGGGAAAUAUAAAUAAGGUCUCAAAUAGUGCCUACCUCACUUAUAUCAUCUGUUCAAAGUAUAAUCCACGGAAACCUAUUCAUAAAUAUGGAUUUCAUAUAGCUUCCCCAUCUCAUGGAUAUAAAUAUGUUUUAGUCAUGGUUUGUAUGUUUUCUCACUGGACCAAAACUUUCCCUUAUACACAGGUCAAUCAUUCUACUAUGGCUAAAAUUCUGUCAGAAAAGGUUAUCCCUAUCUGGGGGAAAUCCCUCUCAAACUACAUAGAGCUGGGGGAACCCAUUUCACUGGAUAGGUACCUCUACAAAUCCACACAGCUCCAUUGGUUUUACAACACUUUCAUUGUGCAUACACCAUCUUCAGUUCUCCGGGUUAGUUGAAUGCACUAACAGCACUAUUAAGACUCCACUGGCAGGUGCCUGGGUCUCUCAGUCAAUUGUUUACCUUUGGCUCAGGUCAUGAUCCUGGAGUUCCUGGAUGGAGCCCCAUGUUGGGCUUCCUGCUCAGCGAAGAGUCUGCUUCUCCCCCUCCCUCUGCCCCUCCCCUUGGUCAUGCUCUGUCUCUCAUGAUCACUCUCUCUCUCUAAAAUAAAUAAUAAAAUCUUAAAAAAAAAAAAA